rnacentral:lncRNA from 1 species
CUUAAUUCCUACCGAUUACUAUUACCUUAGUCAACUCCUGCAAAAUAGGCUCAUACCCAAAUUAUGUAAAAACAUCUAUCGCAUAUGCCUUCAUCGUUAGCCUCAUCCCAACAACGUUUAUAUGCACAGACCAAGAAGCCAUUAUCUCAAACUGACAUUGAAUGAUGAUCCAGACUCUCAAACUCUUACUAAGCUUCAAACUAGACUACUUCUCCACAAAAUUUAUCCCAGUAGUGCUAUUCAUUACCUGAUCUAUUGUAGAAUUCUCAAUAUGAUAUAUAAAUUCAGACCCUAACAUUAAUCAGUUUUUCAAGUGCUUAUUUUCUUCAUCACGAUAUUAAUUCUGGUUACUGCCAACAACCUCUUUCAGCUCUUUAUCGGAUGGGAAGGUGUAGGAAUCAUGUCUUUCUUACUAAUCAGCUGAUGGUAUGGCAGAGCAGAUGCUAAUACAGCAGGCCUCUAAACAGUCCUGUACAACUGCAUCAGUGAUAUUGGCUUUAUUUUAGCUAUAGCAUUGUUCCUGUCCUCCAACACAUGAGAAUUUUAACAAACAUUUAUUCUAGACCAGAUCCCCAUCUCCUUCCAUUAAUUAGCCUUCUCUUAGCAGCAGCAGAAAAGUCAGCUCAAUUUGGCCUCCAUCUCUGACUUCCAUCUGCAAUAGGAGGCCCAGCCCCAGUCUCAGCCCUACUCCACUCCAGCACUACAGUUGCAGCAGGAGUUUUCUUGCUUAUCCGCUUCUACCCUUUAAUAGAAAAUAACCUAUCAAUCCAAACCUUUAUAUUAUGUCUGGGGGCUAUUACUACCUUAUUCACAGUUAUCUGUGCUCUAACACAAAAUGAUAUCCAAAAAAUCAUAGCAUUCUUCACCUCAAGCCAGCUAGGCCUUAUAAUAGUCACAAUUGGCAUUAAUCAGUCACACCUAGCAUUCCUUCACAUCUGCACCCAUGCCUUUGUUAAAGCUAUAUUAUUUAUAUGUUCAGGGUUCAUCAUCCAUAGCCUCAAUGAUGAACAAGACAUCUGAAAAAUAGGAGGGCUAUUCAAGACUUUGCCCCUCACUUCCUCAUCCUUUAUUAUUGGCAGUCUUGCACUUACAGGCAUGCCUUUCCUUACAAGCUUUUACUCUAAGGCCUCAUCAUUGAAACUGCAAACACGUUCAUACACCAACGCCUGAGCCCUUUCUAUUACUCUUAUUGCCACUUCCUUGACAGCUGUCCGUGAUACCCAUAUUAUUUUCUUCGCUCUUAUAGGACAACCUUGCUUCAUGACUCUGGCUGCUAUUAAUGAAAAUAACCCCUUCCUAAUUAACUCAAUUAAGCGCCUAACAGUUGGCAGCAUAUUCGCCGGAUUCCUCAUCACCAACCGUAUUAUUCCUGCUUCAUCCCCAAAAACAACCAUACCACUCCACCUGAAGCUCACAGCCCUAGGUGUGACCAUCUUAGGCUUCUCACUAGCAAUGGAGCUUAAUCUUGAAACUAAUAACCUUAAACCAAAAUACCCAUUACAGACAUUCAACUUCUCCAACAUACUAGGAUUUUAUUCAUCCACAAUUCACCAUACAAACCCCCACUCAGGCCUAUACACAAGCCAAAAUCUGGCUUCACUUCUACUAGACCUAAUAUGACUAGAAAAGUCUAUACCAAAGACCAUUACACAACCCAAAUUUCAGCCUCCAUUACCAUAUCUACUCAGAACGGCCUAAUUAAACUCUACUUUCUUUUUUUAUCCCAUCCCUUCUAACUCUGCUCCUAAUUAUCUA